rnacentral:rRNA from 1 species
UACGUAGGUGGCAAGCGUUGUCCGGAUUUACUGGGCGUAAAGGAUGCGUAGGCGGACAUUUAAGUCAGAUGUGAAAUACCCGAGCUUAACUUGGGUGCUGCAUUUGAAACUGGGUGUCUAGAGUGCAGGAGAGGUAAGUAGAAUUCCUAGUGUAGCGGUGAAAUGCGUAGAGAUUAGGAAGAACACCAGUGGCGAAGGCGACUUACUGGACUGUAACUGACGCUGAGGCAUGAAAGCGUGGGGAGCAAACAGG